rnacentral:rRNA from 1 species
AUUGAACGCUGGCGGCAGGCCUAACACAUGCAAGUCGAGCGGCAGCGGAAAGUAGCUUGCUACUUUGCCGGCGAGCGGCGGACGGGUGAGUAAUGUCUGGGAAACUGCCUGAUGGAGGGGGAUAACUACUGGAAACGGUAGCUAAUACCGCAUAACGUCGCAAGACCAAAGAGGGGGACCUUCGGGCCCCUUGCCAUCAGAUGUGCCCAGAUGGGAUUAGCUAGUAGGUGGGGUAACGGCUCACCUAGGCGACGAUCCCUAGCUGGUCUGAGAGGAUGACCAGCCACACUGGAACUGAGACACGGUCCAGACUCCUACGGGAGGCAGCAGUGGGGAAUAUUGCACAAUGGGCGCAAGCCUGAUGCAGCCAUGCCGCGUGUAUGAAGAAGGCCUUCGGGUUGUAAAGUACUUUCAGCGGGGAGGAAGGCGUUGAGGUUAAUAACCUCAGCGAUUGACGUUACCCGCAGAAGAAGCACCGGCUAACUCCGUGCCAGCAGCCGCCGUAAAAC